AUAAUUAUAAUUUAAUAAAAAUAUUUGACUUCCAAUCAAUAAAUGUAAACAACAACCUUACUAAUUAUA
rnacentral:tRNA from 1 species